CUAAAGUUAUCGUCAGCCUUAGAAUCACCGGGCUGAGCAUACAGCAAAAUGUUCUGCUUUUAAGUAGACAAUUUGACAGAUUAUUUAAAUCAAUAAAGAAAACUGCUCUUCUAGACAAAGCAAACUACUGAAUCACCUCCUGUAUCUCCGAACAGCUGGUCUUGCAAGUCUGCAUUCUAUGAUGACAAGUUAUAUUUUCUACUGACUUCUGAGGCACAAUCCCACCACUGCAUCAGCCUUGGUUCCCUCAAAGGAGUGCCUGCAAAGAUCCACUCUGGGUCCAGUAAGCUUCUGCAGCUACACAGGGGCUGUUACCUUAAGCCAUGCCACGUCUGAUAAGAGUGCCACCUUCACCAACAGGACACUGCAUGACUUCUUUCUGGUACCACGUCUUCUUUCCCUGUCUUUUGGUGCUGAGGUGAGUCACAUUUCUCAGCUUUUGAUAAAAAUGUUUCCAAUGACUAGCACUAAGAGACUCUUCUUUGCACUGACACUCACAGAGUCUAAUUUGAUGUGAUCUGUGAUGACACAGGAUCUUGCUCUCUGAACUCCAACUAACAGGAAGAGGAAGCCUAUUUAACUUUCCCACUUGUUCAAGAUUCAUAGCAAUGUGGAGGUGAGAUCCAGCUGGGUCUAAAACUGGAAAGUGUUUCAGAAAUUGAAAUAUUCAUGGCUCAAGUCUGAAGACAUUUUGUUUUGGGGGUACUUAAAUUCGGCCCUUUGAGAAAUGCUAAUCCAUGCAGCCAUCACAUACAAAUGAUUCAUCUGUUUCUCCCAUGGUCUUUCUGUUCAUGUCUAGUUUUUAGUUCUAGUAGUAUAUGGAUGAUGCCAGGAAGUCUCCUCCAGCAGUGACAACCCUCAAAGACAGGCUGUCAUGAUGAGGAUAGAUUUCAUCUGACCUCCUUUGCAUGCUUCAAGAGGACUGAAUUGAAAUGGACAGACUUCAGCAUGUAAAAAUAUAGCUACAUGAUAUUGACUAACAUUCUGAGUCAGUUUUAGACCCUACUCUUCCAUAGAUGUGUGGUAAGGAGAAUACUAAUUUCAUAAGUUCUUCCUCUUCUGAAACCACUUUGGGGGUAAGGUAAGAUGUGAUCAGCAGGCACUCUGACCUGAAAGCCCCCAGUGGGGUCUUCAUUGCUCUGCUUCUAUGUCCAUAAGUGAAAGGUCUUUCAAAAUCAUCUCCACCCAUAUAACAGCCCAGUACACAGGGGCAUUGGUGUUAUAUUGAUCUUUUAGUAAAUGGACGAGGAUGAGACUGAGAUAACAGCAAGAGGAUAAAACCCCCUGGGUCGGAAAACCAAGUAAGACACUGCAGAUGGGCUAAAAAGCUGUACCUUUCUUCCAGCAGAGGUGAAAAUGGAUAAAGAGAAUAUAAAUGCAAUAUUCCUAGUUAAUGCCUCUUCCAAUUUACUUUCUUCCAUUCGGUAUUUUGCCUUUGUAGUUAUUUUUCCAUUCCAGCUCAAUUUCUCCCAAAAGGAAAUGUAAAUAUUCUGGAAUAAAGGGUCAUACGCAGGAAAUAUCUGCUUUGAAAAUCACCCAUGAAAACUGCCUGACUCAGCAUACAAGGCAUUUAUUUAUGCAUCACUUCUUGGAAUUUCAUAAAAGGGAUACUAUGUGAUGGAACACAAGCAAGUGCUCCCUCAUGACCGUCAGCAGUGACAUAACCCUUGACUUGAUUUGAUUAAGUCUACAGGUAGGAGAUCUAGCACAUGACAGCAUGAGGCCAGGUCAGUCACUGAGGUAGGGUUUGGACGGUUGAGCAACUGAGAUUAGAGGAGGGUCCCGAGGAAAGUGGGACUCAAAGUGAAUCUGCCUUUAUGGUCAGGUCUUAGAAUUCCAGCCCGCUGCACCUGCUGCAGCACAUUGCUCAGCUCUGUAGGAGUCUGUUGCCUGUCAGCCCCUGGGAUGAUGGGAGAUGCUCAGAAGAAAGGCAUCAGUCAAAUUAGGGGAUGACUCUGUCAACCAGGUGUACCAGGAAACUGAUGCCCCUUGUCCUAAAUGGAUAUAUUUCCUUAGGUGAGAUGCUCUCAGGGUUCGCUUACUGAGUAAGGUUCUCCUUUGCAGUACCUCUGCCC